GAUGAACGCUGGCGGCGUGCCUAAUACAUGCAAGUCGAGCGAACAGAUAAGGAGCUUGCUCCUUUGAAGUUAGCGGUGGACGGGUGAGUAACACGUGGGUAACCUACCUAUAAGACUGGGAUAACUUCGGGAAACCGGAGCUAAUACCGGAUAACAUUUAGAACCGCAUGGUUCUAAAGUGAAAGAUGGUUUUGCUAUCACUUAUAGAUGGACCCGCGCCGUAUUAGCUAGUUGGUAAGGUAACGGCUUACCAAGGCGACGAUACGUAGCCGACCUGAGAGGGUGAUCGGCCACACUGGAACUGAGACACGGUCCAGACUCCUACGGGAGGCAGCAGUAGGGAAUCUUCCGCAAUGGGCGAAAGCCUGACGGAGCAACGCCGCGUGAGUGAUGAAGGGUUUCGGCUCGUAAAACUCUGUUAUUAGGGAAGAACAAAUGUGUAAGUAACUGUGCACAUCUUGACGGUACCUAAUCAGAAAGCCACGGCUAACUACGU
rnacentral:rRNA from 1 species